rnacentral:sRNA from 1 species
UGAGACAGAUGUUCGUCCAGCGAGUCAAAGAGAAAGAAGCGGAGCUCAAAGAGGCAGAGAAAGAGCUGCACGAGAAGUUUGACCGUCUGAAGAAACUGCACCAGGACGAGAAGAAGAAACUAGAGGAUAAGAAGAAAUCCCUGGAUGAUGAAGUGAAUGCUUUCAAGCAAAGAAAGACGGCGGCCGAGCUGCUCCAGUCCCAGGGCUCCCAGGCUGGAGGCUCACAGACUCUGAAGAGAGACAAAGAGAAGAAAAACUCUUACUGUUUUACAGUUAACUCUGCUGUUUGCUGCAUGCUGCAUGAGACCCAGGGUCCUGUUUGGGCUUCCUGUAGACACCCUUUUCCUGCGCAACAGAGCUGGGCCUCCCUUUCUCUAAUUUCCCCCUUAACAUGCCUGGGGGGCAUACAAUCCAACCCGCGCCCUCUCCUCUCUUCCUGCCAAGGUUUAUAGAAACCUGAGAAUCUGAGGGUGAUGUCUGGCCGCUGGUCAAGAAGCCAGCUGGUCAAGAAGUCAUGUGGCUCACAGAUGCAUCCUGCAUCCCAGUCCCCCUCCCAGCACCCGCAGCCAUCCCCCUUGUCUUCCCCCACAUCUUUGCCAGAGGUGUGACAUGGUCAGGGGGCCCAUCUGCUACUCUUCCCCACCAGCUCCCCUGUUCCAGUUCUGGUUGCUGUUAGUUUCCCUGAGGUAUUUGCAACCACCAUGGCUGGGUAAGCACCGAUCAGCACAGCUGUCCCCUUGGUCUCCUGUAUCCCAGUCACUAGUCUUCCCUGGUCCACCCCACCCUCAUCCUCAGGAGCCACAGCCAUUUCUUAGAGGGUUUCAAAAGGACAGCCUUUGGCGCCUUUUCCUUCUAACCUUUGAGUCCAGCCCUUUCCAGUUUUCAUUCACUCGAAGUAACUGCACUCAAGCUGUGCUCAAAAUCUGCAACGCAUUUAUUUACACCAAGCCCUUCCCAUAAAACACAACUGCUGAAGAAAAUAGCAGACGUUUCCCCUCUCUCUAACUCUGGGUAUCCCACAGAUGCAAAAGGGAGAAUAAACCUGAAUAUUAUUACCAGCCUAGAGUCUU